rnacentral:rRNA from 1 species
CUGGCUCAGAUUGAACGCUGGCGGCGUGCUUAACACAUGCAAGUCGCGCGUGAAAGGACUUCGGUCCGAGUAAAGCGGCGCACGGGUGAGUAACGCGUGGAUGAUCUACCCAUGAGUUAGGAAUAACGGCUGGAAACGGUCGCUAAUACCAAAUACGCUCCGAUUUCAACUUCGGGGGAAAGGUGGCCUCUGCUUGCAAGCUACUGCUCAUGGAUGAGUCCGCGUCCCAUUAGCUAGUUGGUGGGGUAACGGCCCACCAAGGCGACGAUGGGUAGCCGGUCUGAGAGGAUGACCGGCCACACUGGGACUGGAACACGGCCCAGACUCCUACGGGAGGCAGCAGUGGGGAAUAUUGCGCAAUGGGCGAAAGCCUGACGCAGCGACGCCGCGUGAGGGGAAUGAAGGUCCUCGGAUCGUAAACCUCUGUCAGGAGGGAAGAACCGCCACGGUGCUAAUCAGCCGUGGUCUGACGGUACCUCCAAAGGAAGCACCGGCUAACUCCGUGCCAGCAGCCGC